rnacentral:rRNA from 1 species
GAUGAACGCUGGCGGCGUGCCUAAUACAUGCAAGUCGAGCGAACAGACGAGGAGCUUGCUCCUCUGACGUUAGCGGCGGACGGGUGAGUAACACGUGGAUAACCUACCUAUAAGACUGGGAUAACUUCGGGAAACCGGAGCUAAUACCGGAUAAUAUAUUGAACCGCAUGGUUCAAUAGUGAAAGACGGUUUUGCUGUCACUUAUAGAUGGAUCCGCGCCGCCUUAGCUAGUUGGUAAGGUAACGGCUUACCAAGGCAACGAUGCGUAGCCGACCUGAGAGGGUGAUCGGCCACACUUGAACUGAGACACGGGCCAGACUCCUAAGGGAGGCAGCAGUAGGGAAUCUUCCGCAAUGGGCGAAAGCCUGACGGAGCAACGCCGCGUGAGUGAUGAAGGUCUUCGGAUCGUAAAACUCUGUUAUUAGGGAAGAACAAAUGUGUAAGUAACUAUGCACGUCUUGACGGUACCUAAUCUGAAAGCCACGGCUAACUACGUG